rnacentral:rRNA from 1 species
UACGUAGGUGGCAAGCGUUGUCCGGAUUGACUGGGCGUAAAGCGCACGCAGGCGGAUGCGCGCGUGGGGUGUGAAAUCUGGCCGCUUAACGGCCAGGCGCCAUCCCAUACGGCGCGUCUGGAGGGAUGCAGAGGUCGAUGGAAUUGCCGGUGUAGUGGUGAAAUGCGUAGAGAUCGGCAGGAACACCCAGGGGGAAACCAGUCGACUGGGCAUCACCUGACGCUGAGGUGCGAGAGCGUGGGGAGCGAACCGG